UGACCUCAGAUCAGGCAAGGCAACCCGCUGAAUUUAAGCAUAUUAAUAAGCGGAGGAAAAGAAACUAACAAGGAUUCCCCUAGUAAUGGCGAAUGAAGCGGGAACAGCUCAAAUUUGAAAUCUCCGUUGCUUGCAACGGCGAAUUGUAGUUUCGAGAAGCACUUUCUCGGCGGAUCCGAGGUCGUCCAAGUUGCUUGGAACAGCACGUCGUAGAGGGUGACAACCCCGUCUGCGGCGACCUCGGCCGUUCACGAUGUGCUUUCGACGAGUCGGGUUGUUUGGGAAUGCAGCCCAAAAUGGGUGGUAAACUCCAUCUAAAGCUAAAUAUUGGCACGAGACCGAUAGCGAACAAGUACCGUGAGUGAAAGAUGAAAAGCACUUUGAAAAGAGAGUUAAAAAGUACGUGAAACCGUUAAAAGGGAAACGAAUGGGGUUAGCAAUGCGUCGUGCGAGAUUCAGCCGGUGGGUGGGCCAGGCGGGCGGUUGGCGGAUCUGAAUGGACCGCUGCCGUUCGGGUUGGUUUCCCGACCGUCGCACUUCUCGCAGGCGCGCGCCAACGUCGGUUAGGGCUGGGUCUCAAAGGCGGUGGAAAGGUAGGUUUGGACUCUCGGGCCCGAACUGUUACAGUCCUCCGUUUGUCAUGGCCCGGACCUGACCGAGGAGCUUGCGGUGCAUGCCGUUCGGCUAGGGUCCCGUCUUCCCGGUCGGUCGUCGAAUGCGGUGGACUGCGUGCAGUGCGCCGCGACUGCUGCCGGUCGCGAGGGCGGUGAUUUCGUACUAUGCACCCACGACGUUGGCGGUCAUAUGGCCUCAUCCGACCCGUCUUGAAACACGGACCAAGGAGUCUAACAUGUGUGCGAGUCUUUGAGUGACCGAAACUCCGAGGCGAAAUGAAAGUGAAGGCGACUUCGGUCGCUGAGGUGAGGAUAUUUCCAAAAAGCGGAGGCGCAUCAAAGCAAAUGACAGAUUCUACUUUUUAAGGUUGACCUAAGAGCGCAAGGCAACCCGAAAGAAUUUAAGCAUAUUAAUAAGCGGAGCCAGAAGAAACUAACAAGGAUUCCCCUAGU
rnacentral:ncRNA from 1 species